AUGGUGGUUAACCGUAUUCUGAAAGACGGAAAAAAAUCAUUGGCUUAUCAAAUUCUCUAUCGAGCCGUGAAAAAGAUUCAACAAAAGAUAGAAACAAAUCCACUAUUGGUUUUACGUCAAGCAAUACGUAGAGUAACUCCCAAUAUAGGAGUAAAAACAAGACGUAAUAAAAAAGGAUCGACGCGGAAAGUUCCGAUUGAAAUAGGAUCUAAACAAGGAAGAGCACUUGCCAUUCGUUGGUUAUUAGAAGCAUCCCAAAAGCGUCCGGGUCAAAAUAUGGCUUUCAAAUUAAGUUCCGAAUUAGUAGAUGCUGCCAAAGGGAGUGGGGGUGCCAUACGCAAAAAGGAAGCGACUCAUAGAAUGGAAGAGGCAAAUAGAGCUCUUGCACAUUUUCGUUAA
rnacentral:rRNA from 1 species